UACGGGGGGAGCAAGCGUUGUUCGGAUUUACUGGGCGUAAAGGGCGCGUAGGCGGUCAGCACAAGUCAGUUGUGAAAUCUCCGAGCUUAACUCGGAACGGUCAACUGAAACUGUGCGACUAGAGUGCGGAAGGGGCAACUGGAAUUCUUGGUGUAGCGGUGAAAUGCGUAGAUAUCAAGAGGAACACCUGCGGCGAAGGCGGGUUGCUGGGCCGACACUGACGCUGAGGCGCGAAAGCCAGGGGAGCGAACGGG
rnacentral:rRNA from 1 species